rnacentral:rRNA from 1 species
AGGACGAACGCUGGCGGCGUGCUUAACACAUGCAAGUCGAGCAAGGCUCCUCCUUCGGGAGGAUGCCCUAGCGGCGAACGGGUGAGUAACACGUGGGCAACCUGCCCCUAGCACUGGGAUAACCCCGGGAAACCGGGGCUAAUACCGGAUACGACUUCGGAAGGCAUCUUCUGAAGUGGAAAAGGUUACUGGCUAGGGAUGGGCCCGCGGCCUAUCAGCUUGUUGGUGGGGUAAUGGCCCACCAAGGCGACGACGGGUAGCCGGCCUGAGAGGGCGACCGGCCACACUGGGACUGAGACACGGCCCAGACUCCUACGGGAGGCAGCAGUGGGGAAUAUUGCACAAUGGGCGAAAGCCUGAUGCAGCGACGCCGCGUGAGGGAUGACGGCCUUCGGGUUGUAAACCUCUUUCAGCAGGGACGAAGCGAAAGUGACGGUACCUGCAGAAGAAGCACCGGCCAACUACGCGCCAGCAGCCGC